UGGGGAAUUUUGGACAAUGGGCGAAAGCCUGAUCCAGCAAUGCCGCGUGUGUGAAGAAGGCCUUCGGGUUGUAAAGCACUUUUGUCCGGAAAGAAAUCCUUGGCUCUAAUACAGUCGGGGGAUGACGGUACCGGAAGAAUAAGCACCGGCUAACUACGUGCCAGCAGCCGCGGUAAUACGUAGGGUGCAAGCGUUAAUCGGAACUACUGGGCGUAAAGCGUGCGCAGGCGGUUUGCUAAGACCGAUGUGAAAUCCCCGGGCUCAACCUGGGAACUGCAUUGGUGACUGGCAGGCUAGAGUAUGGCAGAGGGGGGUAGAAUUCCACGUGUAGCAGUGAAAUGCGUAGAGAUGUGGAGGAAUACCGAUGGCGAAGGCAGCCCCCUGGGCCAAUACUGACGCUCAUGCACGAAAGCGUGGGGAGCAAACAGGAUUAGAUACCCUGGUAGUCCACGCCCUAAACGAUGUCAACUAGUUGUUGGGGAUUCAUUUCCUUAGUAACGUAGCUAACGCGUGAAGUUGACCGCCUGGGGAGUACGGUCGCAAGAUUAAAACUCAAAUGAAUUGACGGGGUCAUAGCUGUUUCCU
rnacentral:rRNA from 1 species